rnacentral:rRNA from 1 species
UACGAAGGGGGCUAGCGUUGCUCGGAAUCACUGGGCGUAAAGGGUGCGUAGGCGGGUCUUUAAGUCAGGGGGGAAAUCCUGGAGCUCAACUCCAGAACUGCCUUUGAUACUGAAGAUCUUGAGUUCGGGAGAGGUGAGUGGAACUGCGAGUGUAGAGGUGAAAUUCGUAGAUAUUCGCAAGAACACCAGUGGCGAAGGCGGCUCACUGGCACGAUACUGACGCUUAGGCACGAAAGCGUGGGGAGCAAACAGG